rnacentral:lncRNA from 1 species
GAUGAUUAAAGUCCUAGCUAGGAUUAAUAUUCUCGGUAUGCAUAUACACUGGAUAAUAAGCUACUAUCUAAGACAUGCAGUACUGAAAUUAAUAACCUGGUGGUAUGUGAUGGGGAUGCCUGGUAGGAUUGAUCAAAUUUUCAUACGUAGCCUAGUCGAGUCCUAGACGAGAAUCAAUUGCCAGUGGGUUUCAAGCCAUCUUCAAAAUUGAAACUGCCCUCUUCAACAUCCGCUUGCACAUAUGAUAGGCCGAAACCAUCACAAUGCCACCAAGAGGAGACUCACGAACAGACUUAUGAUAGGCCGAAACCAUCACAAUGCCACCAAGAGGAGACUCACGAACAGGGAGAACACCACCCAUCUGAUCUGGCUGCACCUG